rnacentral:rRNA from 1 species
AGGACGAACGCUGGCGGCGUGCCUAACACAUGCAAGUCGAGCGGAGAUACAUUGAAGAUUUAUCGGAUAUGUAUCUUAGCGGCGGACGGGUGAGUAACGCGUGGGUAACCUGCCUUAUACAGGGGGAUAACACAGGGAAACUUGUGCUAAUACCGCAUAAUAUCAUUGUAUGGCAUCAUAUGGUGAUCAAAGGAGCAAUCCGGUAUAAGAUGGACCCGCGUCCAAUUAGCUAGUUGGUGGUGUAACGGACCACCAAGGCGACGAUUGGUAGCCGAACUGAGAGGUUGAUCGGCCACAUUGGGACUGAGACACGGCCCAGACUCCUACGGGAGGCAGCAGUGGGGAAUAUUGCACAAUGGGGGAAACCCUGAUGCAGCAACGCCGCGUGAAGGAUGAAGGUUUUCGGAUCGUAAACUUCUUUGAUGAGGGACGAAUAAUGACGGUACCUCAAGAACAAGCCACGGCUAACUACGUG